rnacentral:tRNA from 1 species
GGAUUAAUAGCCAAGCGGUUUAAGGCGUUGUACUUGAAAUACAAUAAUGUUAAUAGCAUUCAGAGGUUCGAAUCCUCUUUAAUCCG